rnacentral:lncRNA from 1 species
AUGGGAGGGGAGGGGAGGGGGGGGAGCACUCAUCCCAAUUGGCCCUCAGGAUAUGAGAGUUUGAAAAAUGAGAAUGCAGUUAUCAUUUUAAUUAGAUAUAAAGUUUUUUUUUAAAAUAUAUAUAUAUAUAUAUAUAUAUAUAUAUAUAUAUAUAUAUAUAUAUAUAUAUAUUGUGUAUAUAUAAAUUUGCUGAAAUAAGGACUUGGUUAGUGCAACAUACGUACGUUCUCAUACGCAUGUUGCACUGACCCAUCGUGAUUCCUGAACGACCUGCUUGCGUUCAUUUGCUUUUUUCCUUCUCUUUCGCCUGCCAGGUGCAGUACUGCAGCAAGUGACCAUGUCCACCAUGGCCGGUGGCGAAAAGAAUACCGUGCUCCCAGGUGUCUGUGGGUGUCGGAGGUUACAAUAAGGGAACCUGGACACGCUCGGACUGAGAUCACACAACAGGGGCGGUACACGAGAUGAGCCGCGCGGAGGCAGGUUGUUAUCCGCAACAAAGACCCAAGUAAGGGCUAGCGAGGACAGCGCUCGUGAUGAAGUUUUAGUUUCUGUGAUCUCAAAACUUUCCUGCAUGUUAGCUUAUCAAACAAUCAUCUCUCAUUCACCAUUCCUACACCUCGCCUGUCUUUCAGAAUGAGCUGAAUUCGCCAGGAAUGCCAUCUGGACUCC